CAAAUAUUACUUUGGAAUUUAAUCGUGAUGAAUCGCAAAUUAGUUGCAAAUUUUUUAUAUGUUGAAAAUGUACCCUAAAGGAGGAUUUUUCAAGUAUUUAAUACUUUAAUCAACAUGGGAGUGGGCAAAUAUGCUGCUUUAUGCAAAUGUGUGUAUAUAUUUAUUAUUGGUAACCAAU